rnacentral:rRNA from 1 species
AACGAACGCUGGCGGCAGGCCUAACACAUGCAAGUCGAGCGCGCCCUUCGGGGUGAGCGGCGGACGGGUGAGUAACGCGUGGGAACGUGCCCUUUUCUACGGAAUAUCCUCGGGAAACUGAGAGUAAUACCGUAUACGCCCUGUGUGGGAAAGAUUUAUCGGAAAAGGAUCGGCCCGCGUUGGAUUAGGUAGUUGGUGGGGUAAUGGCCUACCAAGCCGACGAUCCAUAGCUGGUUUGAGAGGAUGAUCAGCCACACUGGGACUGAGACACGGCCCAGACUCCUACGGGAGGCAGCAGUGGGGAAUCUUAGACAAUGGGGGCAACCCUGAUCUAGACAUGCCGCGUGAGUGAUGAAGGCCUUAGGGUUGUAAAGCUCUUUCAGCUGGGAAGAUAAUGACGGUACCAGCAGAAGAAGCCCCGGCUAACUCCGUG